UACGAAGGGGGCUAGCGUUGCUCGGAAUCACUGGGCGUAAAGCGCACGUAGGCGGCUUUCUAAGUCAGGGGUGAAAUCCUGGAGCUCAACUCCAGAACUGCCUUUGAUACUGGAGAGCUUGAGUCCGGGAGAGGUGAGUGGAACUCCGAGUGUAGAGGUGAAAUUCGUAGAUAUUCGGAAGAACACCAGUGGCGAAGGCGGCCCACUGGCCCGGUACUGACGCUGAUGUGCGAAAGCGUGGGGAGCAAACAGG
rnacentral:rRNA from 1 species